rnacentral:miRNA from 1 species
GUGUGUGUGUGUGUGUGUGUGUGUGUGUGUGUAAGUGCGCGUGCAUGCUCGCACGCACGCAACC